GGACAACAUGUUUCGUACAUGUUGUUACAGUCUUCAGUAACUUGUACUUAAUGUGCCAUGUCCACCAAUACUAAAGAACAUUUUACCACCUGAGGGAUAAUUUUAAUAUCAUACGAUGGGGAGCCCAGGAGGUGAGGAAGAAAGGGAAAUUGCACAGGAGCACGACAUUCUGGAGAGAAAAUAUGGCCUUUUCCCUGUUAUUGAAUAAGGCUUUUUUGGGUCUCUUCAUCAUGGCAUUGUCUGGUUUCUCAGAUUAAAUGUACUUGGUUAUUAAGCGCAUUUUAUCUUCAAAUUGAGAGAAUCAAGAUGUAUUGUAUACAUGCAAUUGAUCCAGUAUGUGCAUCUAAUAAGAAGACUUAUGGGAACCAAUGUACAUUCUGCCUAAAAACACGGGACAACAUGUUUCAUACAUGUUGUUACAGUCUUCAGUAACUUGUACUUAAUGUGCCAUGUCCACCAAUACCAAAGAACAUUUUACCACCUGAGGGAUGAUUUUAAUAUCAUGAUAGGAGAGCCCAGGAGGUGAGGAAGAAAGGGAAAUUGCACAGGAGCACGACAUUCUGGAGAGAAAAUAUGGCCUUUUCCCUGCUAUUGAAUAAGGCAUUUUUGGCCCUCUUCAUUGUGGCAUUGUCUGGUUUCUCAGAUGUUUUAAAUUGGAAAACUCCUAAACCAAGAAAAAAGAUUAACUGUCUUCGGUUUAUAAAAGAAUUUUAUGAGGGAAUUGAGAGAAUAAGAAAAUAUUGCCUAUAUACAGUUGAUCCAGUAUGUUCACUUAACAAGACCACUUAUGGAAACCAAUGUGCAUUCUGCCUAAAAACAGAGGAAACAAGCAAUUUCACAAAAACAGUUUGGGAAGCCUAUUAUGGUGAAUGCUGACUUUUUUGAAUUCCCAUACGAUGACAUCUGGCCUCAACCCUUCCCUGUUGCAUGUUCCUCAAGAGAACUAUUAUUGUCAACAUUUCCCUAGAAAUUUUCUUAUGAUUGUAACU
ensembl:lncRNA